AACGAACGCUGGCGGCAGGCCUAACACAUGCAAGUCGAGCGAGGACUUCGGUCCUAGCGGCGGACGGGUGAGUAACGCGUGGGAACGUACCCUUUGCUACGGAAUAGCCCCGGGAAACUGGGAGUAAUACCGUAUGUGCCCUUUGGGGGAAAGAUUUAUCGGCAAAGGAUCGGCCCGCGUUGGAUUAGGUAGUUGGUGGGGUAAUGGCCUACCAAGCCGACGAUCCAUAGCUGGUUUGAGAGGAUGAUCAGCCACACUGGGACUGAGACACGGCCCAGACUCCUACGGGAGGCAGCAGUGGGGAAUCUUAGACAAAGGGCGCAAGCCUGAUCUAGCCAUGCCGCGUGAGCGAUGAAGGCCUUAGGGUUGUAAAGCUCUUUCAGGGGGGAAGAUAAUGACUGUACCCCCAGAAGAAGCCCCGGCUAACUCCGUGCCAGCCGCCGCAGUAA
rnacentral:rRNA from 1 species